rnacentral:rRNA from 1 species
AUUGAACGCUGGCGGCAUGCUUUACACAUGCAAGUCGAACGGUAACAGGGUGCUUGCACCGCUGACGAGUAGCGAACGGGUGAGUAAUGCGUCGGAACGUGCCGAGUAGUGGGGGAUAACGCAGCGAAAGUUGUGCUAAUACCGCAUACGUACUGAGGUAGAAAGUGGGGGACCUUCGGGCCUCACGCUAUUCGAGCGGCCGACGUCUGCUUCGAUAGUAGGUGAGGUAAAGGCUCACCUAGGCGACGAUCAGUAGCGGGUAGGAGAGGAUGUCCCGCCACACGAGAACUGAGAAACGGCCCAGACUCCUACGGGAGGAAGCAGUGGGUCAUUUUGGACAUUGGGCGAGAGCCUGAGCCAGCCAUGCCGCGUGUCUGAAGAAGGCCUUCGGGUUGUAAAGGACUUUUGUCAGGGAGGAAGUCCCUAGUGCUAAUAACACUGGGGGAUGACAGUACCUAAAGAAUAAGCACCGGCUAACUACGUGCCAGAAGCCGCCGUAA